rnacentral:rRNA from 1 species
AAAGAUGAAGAGGAAAAUACGAGUGUGGCGACUUGUCCCAUGACGAGGACGGGUGUUCUACUUCUUGUCCUCCAACUCAUGUGACUGUUAGUAGGUCAGUUACGUGUUAGGUCGUCGGUACCGGCCGGUUGGGGCGUUUGAUGGCGGCGGGCUGCACUUCUCUCCCGGUAGGACGUCGCGACCCGUUGGACAGGGGUCUAAGGCCCGGGAUGGAGCCCGAGGGGGUCGCCGAUGAAUAUCGGGUUCACGGUCCCCCGGACCUCGGUCGCCCGGCCCCAGUUCGACGGUAGGAAACGAGGAGAUGGCCCGCUCACGGAUGUGUGUAGGUGCCGCGGCCAACGCCGCGUCCCUGCCGCCCGCGGGCUGCUGGUCUCCGGAGUUCUCGGACAGCUUUGGCCGUUCUCCCGUCCGCGGCGCUAUUGCUUCGGAUGCCUUCCCGACCCGUCUUGAAACACCCAGUUCGACGGUA